rnacentral:rRNA from 1 species
GGUACUUGUACCGACUGGAUGAGCAGCGAACGGGUGAGUAACGCGUGGGGAAUCUGCCUUUGAGCGGGGGACAACAUUUGGAAACGAAUGCUAAUACCGCAUAAAAACUUUAAACACAAGUUUUAAGUUUGAAAGAUGCAAUUGCAUCACUCAAAGAUGAUCCCGCGUUGUAUUAGCUAGUUGGUGAGGUAAAGGCUCACCAAGGCGAUGAUACAUAGCCGACCUGAGAGGGUGAUCGGCCACAUUGGGACUGAGACACGGCCCAAACUCCUACGGGAGGCAGCAGUAGGGAAUCUUCGGCAAUGGACGAAAGUCUGACCGAGCAACGCCGCGUGAGUGAAGAAGGUUUUCGGAUCGUAAAACUCUGUUGGUAGAGAAGAACGUUGGUGAGAGUGGAAAGCUCAUCAAGUGACGGUAACUACCCAGAAAGGGACGGCUAACUACGUGCCAGCAGCCGCGGUAAUACGUAGGUCCCGAGCGUUGUCCGGAUUUAUUGGGCGUAAAGCGAGCGCAGGUGGUUUAUUAAGUCUGGUGUAAAAGGCAGUGGCUCAACCAUUGUAUGCAUUGGAAACUGGUAGACUUGAGUGCAGGAGAGGAGAGUGGAAAUCCAUGUGUAGCGGU